UACGAAGGGGGCUAGCGUUGCUCGGAAUUACUGGGCGUAAAGCGCACGUAGGCGGAUUGUUAAGUCGGGGGUGAAAUCCUGGAGCUCAACUCCAGAACUGCCUUCGAUACUGGCGAUCUCGAGUUCGGGAGAGGUGAGUGGAACUGCGAGUGUAGAGGUGAAAUUCGUAGAUAUUCGCAAGAACACCAGUGGCGAAGGCGGCUCACUGGCCCGAUACUGACGCUGAGGUGCGAAAGCGAGGGGAGCAAACUGGG
rnacentral:rRNA from 1 species